AGAGUUUGAUCCUGGCUCAGAACGAACGCUGGCGGCGUGGAUAAGACAUGCAAGUCGAACGAGACUUUCCGUUGUAGCAAUACGAUGGAAAGUUUAGUGGCGAACGGGUGCUUAACACGUGGGCAACCUGCCAUGAAGUGGGGGGAUAGCUCGCCGAAAGGCGAAUUAAUACCGCAUGUGAUUAGAGAGGACAUCCUUUCGAAAUUAAAGUCGGGGCAACCUGACGCUUCUUGUGGGGCCCGCGGCCUAUCAGCUAGUUGGUGAGGUAACGGCUCACCAAGGCUUUGACGGGUAGCUGGUCUGAGAGGACGACCAGCCACACUGGGACUGAGACACGGCCCAGACACCUACGGGUGGCAGCAGUCGAGAAUUUUUGACAAUGGGGGAAACCCUGAUCGAGCGACGCCGCGUGGAGGAUGAAGGUCUUCGGAUUGUAAACUCCUGUCAUUUGGGAACAAGGUGCACACGUUAACUGCGUGCGUAUUGAUAGUACCAGAAGAGGAAGGGACGGCUAACUCUGUGCCAGCAGCCGCGGUAAUACAGAGGUCUCAAGCGUUGUUCGGAUUCAUUGGGCGUAAAGGGUGCGUAGGCGGCGCGGUAAGUCGGGUGUGAAAUCUCGGAGCUUAACUCCGAAACUGCAUUCGAUACUGCCGUGCUUGAGGACUGGAGAGGAGACUGGAAUUUACGGUGUAGCGGUGAAAUGCGUAGAUAUCGUAAGGAAGACCAGUGGCGAAGGCGGGUCUCUGGACAGUUCCUGACGCUGAGGCACGAAGGUCAGGGGAGCAAACGGGAUUAGAUACCCUAGUAGUCC
rnacentral:rRNA from 1 species